CUAAAAAUGCCUUUUUUGGGCUUCGGAGACCCCAUUUUGGGGCUGAAAAUCCCAUUGCGCCUCUGUAUGCAAACGAUAUGCAAAUGACAUGCAAACGAGGAGCAGCCCCCUGCACUCUUUGAACCAAAACGACCCCUUUCCCCCCCAAACCCGUGAUGACGUCAUCACCCCACCCUUUCCGUCCCAAUUUCUGCUUUUUUCCACCCAAAGUGGAAGGAGGAACCAAAACCGACUCUGGAGCCGCCCGAAGUCGUUAAUGAGCCAACGUUAAUUAGCGCCAAUUAACGAGUGGAACGAUGGAGGAAGUGGUGGUGCUGACCCGCAUCGUCCCGGGGGGACCCGGAAACGGACAGCCCCAUAAACCCAAGCGGGGAUUGAAGGGGGAGGCGAAGGCGCUGGGGGUGACGCAGAUGCUGAUGGGGGCCCUACAGACGUCUUUGGGGGCGGCGCUGCUGGCAGCCCUACAGGAUCCUUUCAGUACCCAACUCGGGGUCCCCGUGGGCACCGGGGUGCUGGUGAGGGGGUCUGUGGGGCGGGGGGCCGGUGUGGGGUGUGGGGGGCACUUACGGGGUGGUUAUGUGGCGGUUAUGGGGCAUUUGGGGCUGUUAUGGGGCAGUUAUGGGGCAGUUAUGGGGAGGUUAUGGGGCAUUUGGAGCACUUAUGAGGCACUUAUGGGGCGGUUAUGGGGUAUUUGGUGUGGUUAUGGGGCAUUUGGGGCAGUUAUGGGGCACUUACGGGGCAGUUAUGGGGAGGUUAUGGGACAUUUGGAGCACUGAUGGGGCAGUUAUGGGGUGGUUAUGGGGCAUUUGGGGUGGUUAUGGGGCAUUUGGGGCAGUUAUGGGGCACUUACGGGGUGGUUAUGGGGAGGUUAUGGGGCAUUUGGAGCACUUAUGGGGCACUUAUGGGGCGGUUAUGGGGCACUUACGGGGCGGUUAUGGGGAGGUAAUGGGGCAUUUGGAGCACUUAUGGGGCACUUAUGGGGCGGUUAUGGGGCAUUUGGGGCGGUUAUGGGGCACUUACGGGGUGGUUAUGGGGAGGUUAUGGGACAUUUGGAGCACUUAUGGGGCAGUUAUGGGGUGGUUAUGGGGCAGCUGGGGUACUUAUGGGGUGGCUAAGGGGCACUUGGGGUCGUUAUGGGGCACAUAUAGGGCACUUAUGGGGUGGUUAUGGGGUGGCUAUGGGUAUCUAUGGGGCAGCUAUGGGGCAGCUAUGGAGUAGCUAUGGGGCAGCUUUGGGGUAUGUAUGGGGUAUGUAUGGGGCAGCUAUGGGGCAGCUAUGGGGUGGCUAUGGGGUAUCUAUGAGGUAGCUAUGGGGUAUCUAUGGGGAAUCUAUGGGGCAGCUAUGGGGCAGCUAUGGGGUAUCUAUGGGGAAUCUAAAGGAGAUCUAUGGGGUAUCUAUGGGGCAGCUGUGGAGUAGCUGUGGGGCAGCUAUGGGUUAUGUAUGGGGUAUGUAUGGGGCAGCUAUGGGGUGGCUAUGGGGUAUCUAUGGGGCGGCUAUGGAGCAGCUAUGGGGUAUCUGUGGGGCAGCUAUGGGGUGGCUAUGGGGGAUCUAUGGGGCGACUAUAGGGUGGCUAUGGGGCAGCUAUGGGGUUGCUAUAGGGUGGCUAUGGGGUAUCUAUGGGGCGGCUAUGGGGUAUCUGUGGGGCAGCUAUGGGGUGGCUAUGGGGCGGCUAUGGGGUAUCUAUGGGGUGACUAUGGGGUGGCUAUGGGGUAUCUGUGGGGCAUCUAUGGGGCGGCUAUAGGGCAGCUGUGCCCCACAGUUCAUGGUGACCGGAGCGGUGCUGCUGGCAGCGGCGGGCAAGGAGGCCGUGGGGCUGGUGAGUGACAUAGGGCGCGCUAUGGGGCACGGGGGGGGUCAGAGGGUGCCAUGGGCUGACCCUAUAGGUGCCAUGGGGUGACCCUAUAAGUACAAUUGGGUGACCCUAUCGGUGCCAUGGGGUGCCAUAGGGUGACCCUAUAGGUGCCAUGGGGUGACCCUAUAAGUACAAUUGGGUGACCCUAUAGGUGCCAUGGGGUGCUAUUGGGUGACCCUAUAGGUGCCAUAGGGUGACCCUAUGAGUACCAUAGGGUGCCAUGGGGUGACCCUAUAAGUACAAUUGGGUGACCCUAUAGGUGCCAUAGGGUGCCACUGGGUGCCAU
rnacentral:lncRNA from 1 species